rnacentral:tRNA from 1 species
GAGGUUAUAGCUCAAGUGGUAGAGUGCGUGCUUAGCAUGCACAAGGUCCUGGGUUCGAUCCCCAGUACCUCC